AGAGUUUGAUCCUGGCUCAGGAUGAACGCUAGCGACAGGCUUAACACAUGCAAGUCGAGGGGCAGCAAUUUGUAGCAAUACAAAGUUGGCGACCGGCGCACGGGUGAGUAACGCGUAUGCAACCUACCCACAACAGAAGAAUAAUCCGGCGAAAGUCGGUCUAAUACUUCAUAAAACAGGGACACCGCAUGGUGUUAUUUGUUAAAGAUUUAUCGGUUGUGGAUGGGCAUGCGUACCAUUAGGUAGUUGGUGAGGUAACGGCUCACCAAGCCUACGAUGGUUAGGGGUUCUGAGAGGAAAGUCCCCCACACUGGUACUGAGACACGGACCAGACUCCUACGGGAGGCAGCAGUGAGGAAUAUUGGUCAAUGGGCGAGAGCCUGAACCAGCCAAGUCGCGUGAAGGAUGACGGCCCUAUGGGUUGUAAACUUCUUUUGCAGGGGAAUAAAGAUAUUCACGUGUGGGUAGUUGUAUGUACCCUGCGAAUAAGCAUCGGCUAACUCCGUGCCAGCAGCCGCGGUAAUACGGAGGAUGCGAGCGUUAUCCGGAUUUAUUGGGUUUAAAGGGUGCGUAGGUGGGCUAUUAAGUCAGUGGUGAAAGUUUGUCGCUCAACGAUAAAAUUGCCGUUGAAACUGGUGGUCUUGAGUAUGGAUGAAGUAGGCGGAAUGCGUGGUGUAGCGGUGAAAUGCAUAGAGAUCACGCAGAACUCCGAUUGCGAAGGCAGCUUACUAAGGCAUAACUGACACUGAAGCACGAAAGCGUGGGUAUCAAACAGGAUUAGAUACCCUGGUAGUCCACGCAGUAAACGAUGAUUACUAGGAGUUUGCGAUAUAGUGUAAGCUCUACAGCGAAAGCGUUAAGUAAUCCACCUGGGGAGUACGCCGGCAACGGUGAAACUCAAAGGAAUUGACGGGGGCCCGCACAAGCGGAGGAACAUGUGGUUUAA
rnacentral:rRNA from 1 species